rnacentral:lncRNA from 1 species
UACAUCAUAACCCACCUUAACUAGGUACAUCUUUCACCUACACCUAACCUAGAAUCUACUAUACACCCUUAACCUAGGUACAUCUACACUAUAGUAUACCACCUUAACCUAGGUACCUCUACACUAAUAUACCACCUUAACCUAGGACAUCUACACUAUUACAACCUUAACCUAGGUACAUCUACACUAUAGUAACCACCUUAAACCUAGGUUACAUCUACACUAUACCACCUUUAACCUAGGUACAUCUACACCAUACCACCUUAACCUAGGUACAUCUACACUAUACAAUACCACCUUAACCUAGUACAUCUACCCCAUACCACCUUAACCUAGGUACAUAUACACCAUACCACCUUAACCAGGUACAU